GUUUGUUUCCACUUCCCCUCUGUGUGUAAUGGCUGCCUGCUGCAAGAGUAUGGAGUAUGUGAGGGUCUGUCGGAGAGGCUGUUAAUACAUCUGCUCUCUACAACUCCAGAUGAAUCCGCCUCCACCAGUUUCUUAUAAAUCUGAUAAACGUUGCUGGGCUUAGACUGUGGUGUGACCCGUGACAUCAUCAGAGAUCCAAGAUGGUGGAAUUUAAUUGGAGGAUUUCCUGACAUUUCCUGCUCAUGUGGAUACCUUUCCCGGGAGGGUGAAGACUUCCCUUAGAUUGAACGAUGUGUCAAAGAAAUAAACCGUCCCCGAGCAGCAUUCACUUAAACUGCAUAUUGACUUUUUAAACAUGUAAUAAGAAUAUCCAUCCUCUCUUUAUUCAAUAAAGGUUCCUCAGUAGGA